rnacentral:rRNA from 1 species
GACGAACGCUGGCGGCGUGCUUAACACAUGCAAGUCGAACGGAAAGGCCCGGCUUUUGUGGGGUGCUCUAGUUGCGAACGGGGGAGUAACACGUGAGUAACCUGCCCCUGACUUUGGGAUAACUUCAGGAAACUGGGGGUAAUACCGGAUAGGAGCUCCCGCCUCUUGGUGGGGGUUGGAAAGUUUCGGCGGUUGGGGAUGGACUCGCGGCUUAUCAGCUUGUUGGUGGGGUAGUGGCUUACCAAGGCUUUGACGGGUAGCCGGCCUGGGAGGGUGACCGGCCCAACUGGGACUGAGAUACGGCCCAGACCCCUACGGGAGGCAGGAGUGGGGAAUAGUGCACAAUGGGCGGAAGGCUGAUGCAGUCACGCCGCGUGGGGGAUGACGGCCUUCGGUUUGUAAACCGCUUUCGCCUGUGACGAAGCGUGAGUGACGGUAAUGGGAAAAGAAGCACCGGCUAACUCCGUG